CCUACGGGUGGCAGCAGUGAGGAAUAUUGGUCAAUGGGCGCGAGCCUGAACCAGCCAAGUAGCGUGAAGGAUGACUGCCCUACGGGUUGUAAACUUCUUUUGCCGGGGAGCAACGGGCGUCACGUGUGGCGCCACUGAGAGUACCCGGAGAAAAAGCCUCGGCUAACUCCGUGCCAGCAGCCGCGGUAAUACGGAGGAUGCGAGCGUUAUCCGGAUUUAUUGGGUUUAAAGGGUGCGUAGGCGGAUCGUUAAGUCAGUGGUCAAAUUGAGGGGCUCAACCCCUUCCCGCCAUUGAAACUGGCGUUCUUGAGUGGAAGAGAAGUAUGCGGAAUGCGUGGUGUAGCGGUGAAAUGCAUAGAUAUCACGCAGAACCCCGAUUGCGAAGGCAGCAUGCCGGCUUCCGACUGACGCUGAAGCACGAAAGCGUGGGGAUCGAACAGGAUUAGAUACCCCAGUAGUC
rnacentral:rRNA from 1 species